CAAGUCGAACGAGCGAGAGAGAGCUUGCUUUCUCGAGCGAGUGGCGAACGGGUGAGUAACGCGUGAGGAACCUGCCUCAAAGAGGGGGACAACAGUUGGAAACGACUGCUAAUACCGCAUAAGCCCACGGCUCGGCAUCGAGCAGGGGGAAAAGGAGUAAUCCGCUUUGAGAUGGCCUCGCGUCCGAUUAGCUAGUUGGUGAGGUAACGGCCCACCAAGGCGACGAUCGGUAGCCGGACUGAGAGGUUGAACGGCCACAUUGGGACUGAGACACGGCCCAGACUCCUACGGGAGGCAGCAGUGGGGAAUAUUGCACAAUGGGGGAAACCCUGAUGCAGCGACGCCGCGUGGAGGAAGAAGGUCUUCGGAUUGUAAACUCCUGUUGUUGGGGAAGAUAAUGACGGUACCCAACAAGGAAGUGACGGCUAACUACGUGCCAGCAGCCGCGGUAAAACGUAGGUCACAAGCGUUGUCCGGAAUUACUGGGUGUAAAGGGAGCG
rnacentral:rRNA from 1 species